CAGUCGCCGCGGUAACACGACGGGGGCUAGCGUUGUUCGGAUUUACUGGGCGUAAAGGGCGCGUAGGCGGACUGAUAAGUCAGGGGUGAAAUCCCAAGGCUCAACCUUGGAACUGCCUUUGAUACUGUUUGCCUUGAGUUCGAGAGAGGUAAGUGGAACUGCGAGUGUAGAGGUGAAAUUCGUAGAUAUUCGCAAGAACACCAGUGGCGAAGGCGGCUUACUGGCUCGUAACUGACGCUGAGGAGCGAAAGCGUGGGGAGCGAACAGGAUUAGAUACCCCAGUAGUCCCUGUCUCUUAUAC
rnacentral:rRNA from 1 species